rnacentral:lncRNA from 1 species
CUGAAGUGUAGGAACUGAUUUUGAUUAAUUUAUCCCACAAGUCUGGUUUUAUAACUAUAGCUAUUGAUUUUUUUUUUUUUUUAGUGGAAUAAGUAGCAAUCAAUCAUAUUUCCAUCUAGCUAACCAUGAUUAUUAAUAUUUUAAACUAGUUUUGAAACGGAUUGGCUGGCAAAUACGAUAGGUUUGUUCUUGAAGACAGUGAGAAUGGAGUACGCCCAAGUUCCCCGGCAUGAAUUAGCGCCACUGGAUGACCUGAUGAAAUCUGCAUCAGCCGUUAGAUUACAGAGACAGCAAUAGGAAUACAGUGCCGUCAGGGGACUGAGAUUUCCUGCCUCGAACAUGAAUAUGCUGGCUUUGUCUCAGCAUUUAUAGGGCAGAAGGAUGUAGUUAUUCUGUGACAGUAAAAGUAUAGGAGUUAAAUCAGUGAAGUGCACAUACUGGUAGAUGGAAACAUUACAGAACCAUAUGUAUUUUUAACAAUGUAUGUGGAAAGCAGCUACUUUCCUGCCAAGACCCCAGUUCAGGAUCGUGAGUUGCAGCAGCAGGAAUUGGUGACCUCACAGCCACCCAGCAGUGUGGGAAAGCAUUGUGCUCAAGUACAAGGGAUGUGUUCAUUUGCAGGGGAAAGACUGAAAGUCUUGGCAGGGCAGAUAAACCUAGACAUUCUGCUCUCAGAUGAUAGCACAUUUGGAGAUCUGAGAGAAACAGGGAGCUGCUGGAACAUAUUGCAGAAUCCUAAAGCACUUAGCAACAGAGAGAGUGUGGGAUGCAGCGACAUAAGCCGGAAUGUGGAAACAAGUGACAUCGAGGCGGCUGUUUGGGAAAGAAGAGCUUUUACUUUGUUUAUAAUUUCAGUAAUUCUAAAGAACCAUGCAGAGUGGGAGGUCACUGUGGUCUCUGACUCUGCAUAUAUUCUUCUCUGUGUGACUGCUCUUAACACUUCCAUGGUAAUUAUUGUCCAAGAGUGCUGGAUGUAUUAAUUUCCUUCUGUAUUUCCUGCUUCUCUUAAAAGCAGAGAAGAGGUAUUAAGAGAUUUGUGGAAGGGGAAUAUUAUUUGCUUUAAUUUAUCCUGUUAAAACAUACUCAUGUCAUAUGCACUACGAAGAGAUACAUAUCAGCAGAUGGCUUGAUUGCACAGCUUGAUUCUGCACAUACUAAUAAAACUCUCCUUCUGCAUAUGAGGGAGCAACAUGUACAUUUUGUAAUAUGUCCAGUCAUUAAAAUCACAGAGUGUUCUGGAGUGACACAAGCAUUCACAGUAAUGAAGUUAGAGCUUUGGACUAAUAGGAACUAAAACAUCCUGAUAGCAUACACUAACGGUGGAUGUCAAAUAACAAGCAGAAAUAGAGGGCUGAGGUGCUGACCAGGAUAAAUAGAGCCGAGAUAAGAAAAAAUGUCUCCGACAUGAGAGUGAAUUUUAGAAGGGAUUGAGAAAUUCAUGUGUUU